rnacentral:rRNA from 1 species
UACGGGGGGAGCAAGCGUUGUUCGGAUUUACUGGGCGUAAAGGGCGCGUAGGCGGCCACCGCAAGUCGACUGUGAAAUCUCCGGGCUUAACCCGGAAAGGUCAGCCGAUACUGCGGGGCUAGAGUGCAGAAGGGGCAACUGGGAAUUCUCGGUGUAGCGGUGAAAUGCGUAGAUAUCGAGAGGAACACCUGCGGCGAAGGCGGGUUGCUGGGCUGACACUGACGCUGAUGCGCGAAAGCUAGGGGAGCGAACGGGG